GAUGAACGCUAGCGGGAGGCUUAACACAUGCAAGUCGAGGGGCAUCACGAGGUAGCAAUACUUUGGUGGCGACCGGCGCACGGGUGAGUAACGCGUAUGUAACCUACCCUGUACAGGGGGAUAGCCCGGAGAAAUUCGGAUUAAUACCCCAUAAAGAUAUCGGAAGGCAUCUUUUGAUAUUUAAAGUUUCGACGGUACGGGAUGGGCAUGCGUAACAUCAGCUAGUUGGUAAGGUAACGGCUUACCAAGGCGACGAUGUUUAGGGGUCCUGAGAGGGUGAUCCCCCACACUGGUACUGAGACACGGACCAGACUCCUACGGGAGGCAGCAGUGAGGAAUAUUGCGCAAUGGGCGAAAGCCUGACGCAGCCAUGCCGCGUGAGUGAUGAAGGCCCUCGGGUCGUAAAGCUCUGUCGGGAGGGACGAAGGGUGGCAACACUCUGACGGUACCUCGCAAGAAAGCAACCGGCUAACUCCGUGCCAGCAGCCGCGG
rnacentral:rRNA from 1 species